AAUAAUAAUAAUAAGUUUUUUCUCUCUCUCCUCAAAGCCCAUGUGCCUUCUCCUUUCUUUUCUUCUUCUUCUUUCGUUCCUUUCUAAACCCUAGCCACCGCCACUGCUGACUGUUGCUUCGUCGCGCCACAUCGCCACCUCUCCAUCGCCAGCAUCAGCACCGCAGCGCCGUCCCCGUCGCAGCAACAGAGUCGUCAUUCGUCUGCUGCUGUCUUGCUGGUAACUGGACAGUCGGGUUGACCGUGAGCCACCGCGCCCAGCUGUCCAGCUUCGCUUCUGCCACCGCGCCCAGCCACAAGGUCGAUGCAUUCGACCACCACUGCCUAUUCUUGCAAUCUUGAGUUGGGACUAGGAUUUUGGAAGAUUUUGGGGUGUUGCUAUCAAAGAAGAGACCAUUCUUUUCAACGGAAAAUUUUUGGAGUUGGGUUGAUUUGAGUUUUAUCCAAGGGCUAUUAAGGAGUUAUUCAUGCAGACUUUUGAGACCAAGUUGAGGUAAGUGGUAUGAUGCUCGAUUUUUAUGAAGUGGAAAUGUGGAUGAUAUAUGAUGGUGAAAUUGCGUUGUGCACUCAAGUUUCCUCAGCAGAAUCCAAGUGUAUAUUCCACUGAGUUUUCUGGUAAGGGCAAGGACACUCGGGCGACUGACAAGAGGAAUCUGUGACAGUGCCAAAGGAACCAGAUUUCGCUUCCGCAUUUGACCCUUUAUAUUUUCUCAUUUUUUGUUUUUAUUACAUUUAUGGUUUCAUUAUAAUUUUUUUAUAUAAUUUAUUUCAUGUUAAAAAGGGUGCCGGAGUUGAACAAUUUAAGAUCUUGAGAUAAUGGCAGAACAUUGUCUUAUAUACC